UUUUCUACCGGGCUCAAGGGUUUCACUAUCUCCCUUUCUUGUGGCUGUCAUGGCCAACCUACUUUCCCUUCCCACUCUGUUUCCCUCUCUCUCUUUUUCUGCAUUUUAUCAUCCGAUCGGCUGCUUCUAGAUCUUUGCAAUCUCACUAAUCUCCAAAUGCUUAAGGUUGGGAAGGAUGGGUAAGGUUCCAGUUGAUGAAAUUCCAACAUCUCUUGAGGAGAAGGUUGCAGGGCAACGCCUUCAGCUUUUAUCAGGAACACAGGGUUGGACGGUAAAGUGGUGAUAUGGGAUUUGUUUCAGCACUUCACAUUGGUUCAUUGAUUACCAUAGAAUAUACUGUAUUGUUUAGUAUUACACAGGUACUGUUUUGUUUUUUCCAUUGUUUUAUUGAAUACUGUAAAUGAUGGAUUCUAUCCAGGAGUUUGUUCUUUUGAACCGUUCUCUUUCUACAAUUUUGAUGUCAGGGGUUCUUUGGAAAGUUGGAGCUGAAGCAGAUGAUGAUAGGAUUAAGCUGUGGCUUCUGGUGGUGGUGGCUUCAAAAUUGAAGAGGCCAUACUUUGAAGUGCAGCCAUUAUGUUCCAUCAACUUUCCCGGAAAGCAUUCCUCUACCAUGUGUCAUUUACUGCCAUGGAAAUAGUUAUUCUGCUUUUGAAGAAGUUCUCCCACAUGCUCCAACAUUGAUGACUGAUGUGUUCAGCAAUUAUGUUAUUCAAAAGGUAUGAUUUUUCUGGAAAAACAAUCAUUGGUUUCCUUCCAUUCUUUUUUUUUUCUCCCAUAAAGAUACCUUCCAUUCUUUUUCCCCUGUUCAUCUGCCAUCCUUUAUCAUUUUUUUAAAAGGCUGUGGGCUGGUGAUCUAGUAGUCUCUAUAUUCAUUCUCAUGUUGGUCGUAUGAACUCUGUUUGCCUAUGAUAUAAAAAUGCUCGGUUAAUUGUUUGUCUUUGUCGUUUUUGGAGCAUGGAAGCCCUGAGCAGAGAAAGAAAAGAACUAGCAAAUCAGCUUGCUGGCCGCAUUCUUCCUUUGAGCCUUCAGAUGUAUGGGUGCCUGGUAAUUCUAAAGGUAUUAUUAUGGGUCAUUUGUUAGGUGUGGCUUGGCAUGUACUGUUUUCUUCUUUACAUGGACAAAUAGUUCUUGGCAGCCAGCUUUUGGACUAUGCUAUAUACUACUCAACAUUGAUCAAUGCACACACUGUAUACUAGACAACUCAAUAUUUAUGAGGACACCAAUGGCUAAUCCGGAUUCAAUUUGAUCAAUGCACACACUUUAUAUGGCUGCCUUGCUGUUUGUAUAAUAGGUAAUUUGUGAUAUGGAUGCAUACUUCUAACAUGUCUGGAUCUUUUUCUUGGAAGUGGAUCUAAAUGGUGUAUAGGUAGCAGUCCUAAAUAUUUUUUUUUGUUUAUAGUCUGAAUUUGGUUUUUUGUCUAAUUAGCUAGCAAUCAAAGGCCUCAAAUGUAUUUUUUAAAUAACUUGUUAGGCCUCAAAUGGUUUUUACUAAAUCUAUUUCAUCAUUAUAGCCUUGUCCCAGCUAUUAGGGGCAGCCCAGGCAGGAUUCCAUGAAAAUCUAUUUGUUGAUCAAAUUCCAUUGUUGAAUACGUUGGGUAGU